rnacentral:rRNA from 1 species
UACGAGGGGGGCAAGUGUUGUUCGGAAUCACUGGGCGUAAAGGGAGCGUAGGCGGGCUCUUAAGUUGGAUGUUUAAAACCGGGGCCCAACCCCGGCGUGGCAUCCAAAACUGGGAGUCUUGAAUGGAACAGAGGCUAGUGGAAUUGGAGGUGUAGCGGUGGAAUGCGUAGAGAUCCGGAAGAACACCGGUGGCGAAGGCGGCCUGCUGGGCAGUAGCUGACGCUGAUGCGCGACAGCGUGGGGAGCAAACAGG